rnacentral:rRNA from 1 species
GAUGAACGCUGGCGGCGUGCUUAACACAUGCAAGUCGAACGAUGAUCCCAGCUUGCUGGGGGAUUAGUGGCGAACGGGUGAGUAACACGUGAGUAACCUGCCCUUGACUCUGGGAUAAGCCUGGGAAACUGGGUCUAAUACCGGAUACGACCAUCUGGCGCAUGUCAUGGUGGUGGAAAGCUUUUGUGGUUUUGGAUGGACUCGCGGCCUAUCAGCUUGUUGGUGGGGUAAUGGCCUACCAAGGCGACGACGGGUAGCCGGCCUGAGAGGGUGACCGGCCACACUGGGACUGAGACACGGCCCAGACUCCUACGGGAGGCAGCAGUGGGGAAUAUUGCACAAUGGGCGCAAGCCUGAUGCAGCGACGCCGCGUGAGGGAUGACGGCCUUCGGGUUGUAAACCUCUUUCAGUAGGGAAGAAGCGAAAGUGACGGUACCUGCAGAAGAAGCGCCGGCUAACUACGUGCCAGCAGCCGCGGUAAUACGUAGGGCGCAAGCGUUAUCCGGAAUUAUUGGGCGUAAAGAGCUCGUAGGCGGUUUGUCGCGUCUGCUGUGAAAGACCGGGGCUCAACUCCGGUUCUGCAGUGGGUACGGGCAGACUAGAGUGCAGUAGGGGAGACUGGAAUUCCUGGUGUAGCGGUGAAAUGCGCAGAUAUCAGGAGGAACACCGAUGGCGAAGGCAGGUCUCUGGGCUGUAACUGACGCUGAGGAGCGAAAGCAUGGGGAGCGAACAGGAUUAGAUACCCUGGUAGUCCAUGCCGUAAACGUUGGGCACUAGGUGUGGGGGACAUUCCACGUUUUCCGCGCCGUAGCUAACGCAUUAAGUGCCCCGCCUGGGGAGUACGGCCGCAAGGCUAAAACUCAAAGGAAUUGACGGGGGCCCGCACAAGCGGCGGAGCAUGCGGAUUAAUUCGAUGCAACGCGAAGAACCUUACCAAGGCUUGACAUGAACCGGUAAUACCUGGAAACAGGUGCCCCGCUUGCGGUCGGUUUACAGGUGGUGCAUGGUUGUCGUCAGCUCGUGUCGUGAGAUGUUGGGUUAAGUCCCGCAACGAGCGCAACCCUCGUUCUAUGUUGCCAGCGGUUCGGCCGGGGACUCAU